ensembl:lncRNA
CUGCUGUGUCCCAGACUCCUCUGAGACAGAGCUCUGACCCCACAGAGCUGCUUUGGCCAUGUGGAAGAGCAUCAUGUGCACGCCCAGGACUGCAGAGCCGGCCAUGCUCGUACUCCUCGAGGUGCUGGGGAGCUGGCCAGAGCACAGCACGUGCACCUCCGAUGGGGACCACACGGCUGUCCUUGCCCUGGCUGCAACCGUGGUGAUGUGGAAGAUCCUCCAGCUGCCCUGUGUGCCACAUGUAGUCACCGUGUGUUUCCCCUGCCUCUUUGUGCAUCUGCUCUUCCAAGUGCUCUUCAGCACUCUGGAUAUGCCAGAGGAGGUCGAUACCUUCUGGGAGGGAUGCCAGCAGCAACACGGCCUUGCCACCAACCCCAGCAGGUGCUCCAUGCACGUCCUCCUGUCCUUGCCACAUCCCUGGGCAGGGGCCAGUGCCCCCAGCGUGACCUGGGCUUUGCUCUGCACACAGCUUUGCAGAGCAGACCCUGAAGGCCCUGCUCUGCCGACUGCACUAUGAGGAUGUGGUGGUGGCCAUGGAAGACAAGGGUGGCUGGGACACACUGCUCUGUGCUGACACCCACCACUGUGCUGUGGGCGUGCUGGCCAGAGAAAUGCGCCGCGCAUCCGAAGCCGUGUGUUCCGCGAUUGCAUUCCAGCUGCUCGGGCUGCUCAGCAAAGACACGCCAUGCCGGGAUUUGGCCGCCCUGGCGUUCCUUGUGGAGGUGAGCCUGAAGGCCAGCGCUGCCUCGCUGAGCUGCCUCCCGGCUCUCUGCCCUCUCUUGGCCGCAGUGCCUGGGACGGAGCCCGCGCCCUGUGCUGCUGCCUGGGCCCGGCCCUGUGCGGUUCUGGGCUCCCGCCGGCCGCUCCCCCGUCACUGCCCUGUGCCUUUCAGGUCCUGGAGCGCCUGAACCUGAGUGAAUGCCGUGACAGCGUCCUGGAGUUCUUGUCAAAGAACCUGCAGAGCGAGUGCAGGGGGAGGCGUCGCUUGGCACUCAGAGGCCUCGUGGUGCUCGGCACCACCAGUGCCUCGAUGGCCAUAAGGAUGUGGAGCCUGCAUGAAAGGCUCGUGGAGCUCCUGCAGGAAAAUGACGGCGUCAUGCUCAGGAUGACCACGGUUCUCCUCAGGGGUUUAUUUCUCUGCAAUGGUGCCCCAAUAACCAGCGCCCUCGCCCUGCAGCUGGCUGAGGCGCUCCUGCCACUCUUUGACAACGUAAGGCUCUGCGCCUCCAGCCACGGCCAGCGGGUGCUACCCGCACACUUUGUGCCCUGUGCACUUACAGGCUGUGCCCAGCUGGGCCUGAAGCAGCUGACGCUGAGGUCUUCCUUCCUUCCUUUCAUACAGGAGGAUAGCCAGGUGCAGUUGAGCUCCAUGUUUAUCUUCCGAGACAUGCUGGAUCGUUUUCCGGAAGAGGAAAAAAAGGCCCUGAAGGCACACGUGCGCCAGAGCCUGCUGCCACUCUCCUUCCACUGCCAUGAUGAGAAUCAGCGAGUGGCAGAGGUGAGGACUCGGCAGCUGCUGCUGUUCCCCUGGCAGGGGCUGGGCUGCCCCUGCCCUGGCACCUCGCAGGCUGCAGCCUCCUGCUGGCCUUGGCACAGGGACGGGUCCUGUGCCCUGGGCUGUGGGGCCAUCUCCGCGUCUCUGCUGCUCUCCAGGCUUCUCAGGAAACGCUGCUUUGUGCGGCCGAGUUCCUGAAGCAGAGGGAUCUCGAAAAGCUGCUGAAGAACCAGAAGCUGUGGAAGUUCACCGAGUGCCUGGUAAGGAGGGCCGGGAAGCCGCAGCCCCAGCCUGGAGAAGCCCCCUGAGCGCGGUGCUCGGUGUGCGGGCUGGCAGCUGUGCCCCUGCCCGCUGCUGCAGCCCGAGGCCGCGCGGGCUCUGCUCCAGGCUCCUGCGGCCCGAGCCGGGUGCCCAUGGAGCCCCGGCCCGGCGGGGCUGCGGGGCCAACCCUUCCCUCCUGCCGCUCUCUGCAGCUGGCAGAGGACAGCAGCAGCGUGGCCGAGCACCUGCGCCGGGCCCUGCCCUACCUGCAGAGCCCACAGGAGCCCCUGCGAGAGGCGGCCGUCAGGUUCAUGGGUGAGCCACGAGCCGGGCCAGGAGGCCGUGUGGGCACAGGGCUGGCAGCGCCGCUGGCAGGGAGCUGUGCCGCCGGGCCUGACAGGCUCUGUGUUCCCAGGGACGGCCGGGCGGUACCUGAGGGGGAGGAAGGAAGAGCUCCAGCUCAUCUCUGAGGGUGAGUGAGGGCAGCGGGCUGCCAGCGGGGGCUGGCGGGGAGCUGCGAGCCCUGCCCCGGCUGCGGAGGGCUCUGCUCCCUGUGCGGACCAGGGCCGGCGUGGGCAGAGCACACAGAGGUUUCAGGGCACCUGGGGGAUUCCUGGCCAGCAGCUUCGGGCUGAUCCAGCUGGUCCCUGCUCCCUGCUGGCCAUGGCCAGAGCCGGCUGGGAUGGCCCUGGCACAGAGUCCCCUCGGGUCCCCUCAGAUGUGGGAACUGACCAUGGCUCUGUUCCUCUCUCUUUCAGCCCUUGAAGGCAUGGCCAAUGACAUCAGUGUCCCCGUCGCAAGCCUGGCAGUUCAAACAUUGUACGUCCUCCAGGAAGCAGAGAGAGCUCCAUACUCCAUCUUUGACAACCUGCAUGAUCGGCUCCGCAGGGCAUGGAGGAGACGGCCUCGUCUGUCGGGGCUCGGCUGGCUGCGCUGCUGGAGCUCUGCAGAGAGCUGAUCCCAGAGGCUCUGUCUGCUGGGGCCGCCCGAGCCAGCAGGAAUGUUUCCUUUCUUUAAGAUUGUUCUUUUCUUUCUCUUUGUUUUACUUUAGCAUAUAAAUAUAGGAUGUGUUUUAAUAGACAGACUCCCAGGAUCUUUCUUUUGCUGCCCAGGUUCUGCAGGGCCUAGGGGAAGAGGGACAAAAGGGAUCCCUGGCUCAGCAAGCUGCCCAGGCAUGCAGGGUUGCAGGGAAAAUGGCCAGAAGCCCCUUGGCCUUUGGUGGUUCUGCCAAAGCCUUUGUGCUGCCCACAGAGCAGAUGGGCAGGGGCUGGAGCUGUGGGGAUCUCUGUGAGAGCGGUGCCUGGAGAUGGCCACAAGCCCUGUCCCAGGCAGGAAGCGCCAUCCGUGUCCUCCUGCCCGUGUGUUGCUGCCUGGAUUGCUGAGGGCUCCCAGGUGCCUCUGGAUGGGCUCCUCUGGAGCUCCUGUGGGGCUGCGGCGCUGCUGCCGGGCAGGUU